GUCCAGUUAGCCUAGUGGUUAGGGCUAUGGAUCGCCAAUCCGGAGACGGCGGGUUCGAUUCCCGUUCCAGUCU
rnacentral:tRNA from 1 species